rnacentral:rRNA from 1 species
GAUGAACGCUAGCGGCAGGCCUAAUACAUGCAAGUCGAACGGUAGAUCGGGUAGCAAUACUUGAUUGAGAGUGACGUAAGGGUGCGUAACACGUAUGCAAUCUACCCUCAACAGGAGUAUAGCUCGGGGAAACUCGGAUUAACACUCCAUAACAUUACGAUGUGGCAUCACAUUGUGAUUAAAACUCCGGUGGUUGAGGAUGAGCAUGCGUCUGAUUAGUUAGUUGGAGGUGUAACGGACCCCCAAGACGAUGAUCAGUAGGGGAACUGAGAGGUUGAUCCCCCACACUGGCACUGAGAUACGGGCCAGACUCCUACGGGAGGCAGCAGUAGGGAAUAUUGGUCAAUGGGUGAGAGCCUGAACCAGCCAUGCCGCGUGCAGGAAGACGGCCUUCUGGGUUGUAAACUGCUUUUUAUCUGGGGAUAAAAAGCCCAUGCGUGGGACAUUGAAGGUACCAGAUGAAUAAGCACCGGCUAACUACGUG